ensembl:ncRNA W01A11.14 ncRNA
AAAGAUAGCGUGGAAUUCGGGAUUUUUUGCGCCAAAAUUGAAAACUCGGCCUCUCGGGCUUUUUGACAGCUUUUUGCAAACAAUUGAUGGCGCAAGGGUAAAUGCUCAAGCAUUUUUCAAAAAGGCACUUUCAAUAAUCAAAUAGAUUUGAAAAAUAAAAUUAUUUUCGCUCGUUUUGGUUUAGAAAAAAACUACAUUCU